rnacentral:rRNA from 1 species
AUGAACGCUAGCGACAGGCUUAACACAUGCAAGUCGAGGGGCAGCACAGGUAGCAAUACCGGGUGGCGACCGGCGCACGGGUGAGUAACGCGUAUGCAACUUGCCUAUCAGAGGGGGAUAACCCGGCGAAAGUCGGACUAAUACCGCAUGAAGCAGGGAUCCCGCAUGGGAAUAUUUGCUAAAGAUUCAUCGCUGAUAGAUAGGCAUGCGUUCCAUUAGGCAGUUGGCGGGGUAACGGCCCACCAAACCGACGAUGGAUAGGGGUUCUGAGAGGAAGGUCCCCCACAUUGGUACUGAGACACGGACCAAACUCCUACGGGAGGCAGCAGUGAGGAAUAUUGGUCAAUGGGCGUAAGCCUGAACCAGCCAAGUCGCGUGAGGGAUGAAGGUUCUAUGGAUCGUAAACCUCUUUUAUAAGGGAAUAAAGUGCGGGACGUGUCCCGUUUUGUAUGUACCUUAUGAAUAAGGAUCGGCUAACUCCGUGCCAGCAGCCGCGGUAAUACGGAGGAUCCGAGCGUUAUCCGGAUUUAUUGGGUUUAAAGGGUGCGUAGGCGGCCUUUUAAGUCAGCGGUGAAAGUCUGUGGCUCAACCAUAGAAUUGCCGUUGAAACUGGGGGGCUUGAGUAUGUUUGAGGCAGGCGGAAUGCGUGGUGUAGCGGUGAAAUGCAUAGAUAUCACGCAGAACCCCGAUUGCGAAGGCAGCCUGCCAAGCCAUUACUGACGCUGAUGCACGAAAGCGUGGGGAUCAAACAGGAUUAGAUACCCUGGUAGUCCACGCAGUAAACGAUGAUCACUAGCUGUUUGCGAUACACUGUAAGCGGCACAGCGAAAGCGUUAAGUGAUCCACCUGGGGAGUACGCCGGCAACGGUGAAACUCAAAGGAAUUGACGGGGGCCCGCACAAGCGGAGGAACAUGUGGUUUAAUUCGAUGAUACGCGAGGAACCUUACCCGGGUUUGAACGCAUUCGGACCGAGGUGGAAACACCUUUUCUAGCAAUAGCCGUUUGCGAGGUGCUGCAUGGUUGUCGUCAGCUCGUGCCGUGAGGUGUCGGCUUAAGUGCCAUAACGAGCGCAACCCUUGCCACUAGUUACUAACAGGUUAGGCUGAGGACUCUGGUGGGACUGCCAGCGUAAGCUGCGAGGAAGGCGGGGAUGACGUCAAAUCAGCACGGCCCUUACAUCCGGGGCGACACACGUGUUACAAUGGCGUGGACAAAGGGAGGCCACCUGGCGACAGGGAGCGAAUCCCCAAACCACGUCUCAGUUCGGAUCGGAGUCUGCAACCCGACUCCGUGAAGCUGGAUUCGCUAGUAAUCGCGCAUCAGCCAUGGCGCGGUGAAUACGUUCCCGGGCCUUGUACACACCGCCCGUCAAGACAUGGGAGCCGGGGGUACCUGAAGUCCGUAACCGAAAGGAUCGGCCUAGGGUAAAACUGGUGACUGGGGCU